GGGCGCAAGGCUGGACCAGCCAUGCCGCGUGAGGGAAGAAGGUCUUCGGGUUGUAAAGCUCUUUUGGCGGGAGAAAGUGAGGGU
rnacentral:rRNA from 1 species